rnacentral:rRNA from 1 species
GACGAACGCUGGCGGCGUGCUUAACACAUGCAAGUCGAACGAUGAAGCUGGAGCUUGCUCUAGCGGAUUAGUGGCGAACGGGUGAGUAACACGUGAGCAAUCUGCCCUUGACUCUGGGAUAACUGCGGGAAACUGUAGCUAAUACCGGAUACUUUCACCGGGGGGCAUCCUCUGGUGAUGAAAGAAUUUCGGUCAAGGAUGAGCUCGCGGCCUAUCAGCUUGUUGGUGAGGUAACGGCUCACCAAGGCGACGACGGGUAGCCGGCCUGAGAGGGUGACCGGCCACACUGGGACUGAGACACGGCCCAGACUCCUACGGGAGGCAGCAGUGGGGAAUAUUGCGCAAUGGGCGGAAGCCUGAUGCAGCAACGCCGCGUGAGGGAUGACGGCCUUCGGGUUGUAAACCUCUUUUAGUAGGGAAGAAGCGAAAGUGACGGUACCUGCAGAAAAAGCACCGGCUAACUACGUGCCAGCAGCCGCAGUAA